GAACGAACGCUGGCGGCAGGCUUAACACAUGCAAGUCGAAACGAGAAAGUGGCUUCCGGCCAUCAGUAAAGCGGCGGACGGGUGAGUAACACGUAGGUAAUCUUCCUUCGAGCGGGGGACAACGUUCCGAAAGGGACGCUAAUACCGCAUACGUUUCUCGGGACUCUGGUCCUGGGAAGGAAAGCUAGGUCGCAAAGAUCCGGCACUCGAUGAGGAGCCUGCGUAGCAUCAGCUAGUUGGGGGUAAUGGCCUACCAAGGCGAAGACGCUUAGCUGGUCUGAGAGGAUGAUCAGCCACACUGAAACUGAGACACGGUUCAGAC
rnacentral:rRNA from 1 species